rnacentral:ncRNA from 16 species
GGCCGUCGUCGUGACUGGCGAAAAGGUGGUCACCACCGGGGAGCGACGGCACGUCACGGGUCCGCUCGCACCCCCGCGGUGACCCGGGACGCAGCAACGGAGAACCUGGUCGCCCGCCUGGGCCGAGGUC